AUUGAACGCUGGCGGCGGGCCUAACACAUGCAAGUCGAGCGAGCGGCGGACGGGUGAGUAAUGUAUGGGGAUCUGCCCGAUAGAGGGGAAUAACACUGGGAAACCAGUGCUAAUACCGCAUAGUGAAAGAUGGCCUCGCGCCUGAUUAGCUAGUAGGUGAGGUAACGGCUCACCUAGGUGAUGAUCAGUAGCCGGACUGAGAGGUUGAUCGGCCGCAUUGGGACUGAGACACGGCCCAGACUCCUACGGGAGGCAGCAGUGGGGAAUAUUGCACAAUGGGCGCAAGCCUGAUGCAGCCAUGCCGCGUGUAUGAAGAAGGCCUUAGGGUUGUAAAGUACUUUCAGCGGGGAGGCGUUACCCGCAGAAGAAGCACCGGCUAACUCCGUGCCAGCAGCCGCGGUAAUUC
rnacentral:rRNA from 1 species